rnacentral:rRNA from 1 species
GAUGAACGCUAGCGGCAGGCUUAACACAUGCAAGUCGAGGGGCAGCACUGGUAGAAAUACCUGGUGGCGACCGGCAAACGGGUGCGGAACACGUACGCAACUUACCCUAAACAGGUGAUUAGCCCUCGGAAACGAGGAUUAAUCCACCGUAAACUAUAUUGGUGGCAUCAUUGGUAUAGAAUAGCUGAGGCGGUUUAGGAUGGGCGUGCGUCACAUUAGCUUGUUGGUAGGGUAAUGGCUUACCAAGGCGACGAUGGGUAACUGGUGUGAGCGCUCGACCAGUCACACAGUGUCGGAGACACGGGCCCGACUCCUACCUGAGGCAGGAGUCUGGAAUAUUGGUCAAUGGACGCAAGUCUGAACCGGCCAUGCCGCGUGAAGGAUGAAGGCGUUCUGCGUUGUAAUCUUUUUUUAUCAGGGAAUAAACCUCAGUAUUCUUAUUGAGCCGACGGUACCUGAUGAAUAAGCACCGGCUAACUCCGUGCCAUCAGCCGCGUUAACAC